UCUAAUCCAUUUGUAUGCUUCUAAUUAUAAAUCUACAAGCAUUUAAUUGUCUACUAAGAUAUAUACUCCUUGACCCUUUUUCUCUCCUUUUGAUCUCAUUUAUUUCGUCUUUUGACAAAAGACCUUUGUUUGGAAAAGGGAAAUUUCACUAUUUAUGCAUAAUAGUUUUUUUUGAAAAAAGAGACAGAGGUCAAAAAGGCUGACCUCCUCCCAAUAAAAUUGGGAGCCCUCACUUAUGGCGGAGGAAUACCGUGGUUACCUCACUUAUGGCGGAGGAAUACCGUGGUUACAACUAGGAAAAACACAACAGACCCCAAACCCAAAAAUUAAAACUAGAAAUUGCUCCAAUCUCUAAUAAGGUCAGAAAAGGCAACCCCCCAAAACAUUUGUUUCGAUAAACCCAAGUAGCCACCCAAAAUUUUAUCUUAACCCAUAUAGACUCAGAUGUACUGGAAAUAUCUUCGAAGAGUCUAUUAUUUCGCUCUAACCAUAAGGCCCAAAACGUUGCCAGAACGGUAGUUUGCCACAGGCGAGAAACCCGCUUACUGCCCCCUAACCUUGUCAGGAACAAUUGAGAACAAUUAGAGGGCAUGCACCAAAGAAUACCAAACUCCGCUAAGACUUUUCCCCACACAUCUCUAGCAAGACGACAAUCCAUGAAUAAAUGGCUAGAGGAUUCCCCUGCCUGCUUGCAACAAACGCACCACCCAGGGGACAAGCAAUGGUAAGGUCUUCUUCUCUGCAUGUUGUCUAUAGUAUUUAAUUUAUCGUUGAAAACCAACCAACCAACCAAACACUUUUACUUUCGAGGGAGAGACACUUUUCCACAAAGACUUUGCCCACUCCCGAACUGAACCCAACUGAGCAUAACUCAACCUCCAAAAGGCCGACUUGCAAGAGAAGACUUCACUAAUAGGAUUACUAAAUAAUACCAGCACUAAUAAAUUUUUCAAAUUGGUGCUAAACUUUCACCAAGUACCAAAAAUACCUCUCAUUUUUUACCACUCAAAUUUUUUCCCACACAAACUCUCUCACUCUCUCAGUCUCUCAAUCCCCGAAACCCAAACCCAAUCCGAAGGAAACCCAAAAACCCCAAAAACUAAAGGAAACCCUCUGCGAUAACCAUCACCGUCGAUCUCAGGCUCUCUCUUUCUCUUCUCCGAAGUCGGCCUGUCGAACUUGUCGAGCCAACGGCGACAACAAAGCUCGAAACCCACGUCGUCGAACCGGUCGAACCCAUUUCUCAUUAAGAUGCCUAAGUUGCUUGUUCCGUUUAGUGAUCACUUUCCUGGUCGAGUGACAUAUUGGGGUAGUAGUACAUUAAAUCACAUUAAGACUAGGUCUGUGGAGCUCGGGCUGCUUGAAAGGGCUAAGGAAUCCCCUUUCUCAAGCAGUUCUUUUUGGCUUCAGAGUUUGAUUUCUCCGGAGUCUUGGUGCAUCAACCGUUGUUGAGGAAAAUCGCCAGCAACAACGAAGAUGAGAUGCAUUUUUUCUUGGGGUCGAAGUCUUGUAGAUUCGGCACGGGAGAGUUUGCCCUAGUGACGGGGUUGAAUUUCAGUACCUUCCCGUCACCAGAAGAGUUGGAAGGGCGUAAUCUCAGCGACCGGUUGAUAAAUAAGUAUUUCAACUAUGCUGAGAAAGUAAAGCUCUUACAGGUGGACCAUGUUUUCAAGACUUUUGUAGAAGAUGUGUACAAGCUUGGUCUAUGUCUGUUUGUUGAGGGGGUUCUGAAUGCCAUUGAUGACAAGUUGCACAUUUGGCGAGAUAUUCUGAAAAUUGUUGAGGACCUAGAGUACUUUUUCAGCUAUCCAUGGGGGAAGUACUCUUAUAAGAGGCUAUUGCAGUCUUGUAAGAAGGACAUGGUGAAGCAAAAUGCCAACUAUGAUGCCAAGGUGCAGCAAGAGUUCAAGUACAGUAUGUAUGGUUAUGUCCCGGCCUUACAGUACUGGGCAUAUGAGACUAUCCAGCAGCUUGCGACGGAGCUUGUUGUGAGCUCGGGAAAUAUGGUCCCGAGGAUGCUUAGUUGGUCGCAUCGGAGGAACAAGGAUUUCACCAAGUUCGUCAUCGCACCGAUGUUAUUGAAGAAGAAUUUGAUUGUCCAUUCGAUGUUGAAGCCUCGACCAGCAGAAAAAGACUAUUAUUUGUCUUUGACAGAGGGAGAUCUUCCCUUUUAUUCUGGGCUUGGCCAGGAUUCCUUGGAGGCUGAUGAGGAGGAGGAUGCAAUUUUUGAGAAAAUUGCGGAGAUAGUUUCUCAGGUAGCCAAGAUAUUUGAUGAUGCUGCUCCGGGGGAGGAGGUUGCAGGUCCCACCCCUUCGUCCCAACCCUCUUGUUGCCCAACCUCAGCUUUCGUCCCAACAUCAGCCCCAGCCUCAGCGUCAGCCCCAACACCAGCCUUAGCCCCUGAGCUCGCCGACUUGAUUGAGCUGUUGGACAGAGUCGAGGGUCGACAGGAGACCCUCCUGAAGAAUCAGUCAGUGAUCUUGGAUGUAGUCAGUCAGAUCCUGACAUUUAUUAAGGAGAAACCGAGGGGCCCCAAUGAAGAUUCAGACUCAGAGUCGUUGGAUAUUCCUCUAGAUUAUGUUGAUGAUCCAACCACGUCUCCUACCAUCAUUGUGACACCUAAUGCUGGGACUCCAGGAGUCAACCCUAAGGAUGUUGCUGGGGUUCAGUUUCAGAGGACUAGACGCCAAAGACACAAGCCAGAUUGGUUUGAGGACUACACCGAUCCCACGAGGAAAAGACCUCGCACUGAUGCAAUUGCACCAGCAGAGGAGGCUACACAGGUGCUGGACCCUCUCAAGAAGCCAGAUCCCAAACAGUAUAGGACAAUGUGCAAGUGACUGCUUGGAGACAUGCCCAACAAGACCCCGAUGGAUGUAGAGACUAGGAAUCACGGUCCAGCGUGGUUUCUGACGUGGAAGACACCCCAGUCGUGGCUCAAUGAUGGGCUCCAAGGGCCAUGGAGAAGUGCGAGAACAAGAACUAGUUGGUACAACGCUGUAUUGAUGCUAUCCAUCCAGCAGUCCAAGGAUUUGAAAAACAGGGUUAAGGUAGAAAGCCCUGAAACCUGAUUUAUAAUAGAAGUGCGUGGCGAGGACUUGUAAGGUGUUGGAAUGGAUAGGACAUCAAGCGCAGAUGCUUUUACUAUAUUAUUACUGUCUAUAUUUCCCAUGAUCUAUGUAUGUUAAGUGUUCUGUGAGUUCGUCUAGAUUGUUGACAUUAUUAAAUAUUGAACUUUAAAAAAAAAAAAAAAAACCAAUGACCUCUAGAUUUGUGGAAGUGCCAAGUAGUACCUCAUCAGGCUAUGUGGUCAACUUCUUGUCUUGAAAAAGGGUAUAUAAAUUUGUAUUGCUUUGUUGAACCUUGUCAUGUAUGCCUGCCUGUAUGAAUUAAAGUCCAUCUUUUAUAUCA